rnacentral:tRNA from 1 species
GGUGGCUCAAUGGUAGAGUUCUUGCCUUGCAUGCAUGAGGCUCUGGGUUCGAUUCCCUAGCACCA